UAAAAUAAUGCGUAUAAUAUAAAGUUGUGGUAGCUACCACAACUUUAUAUUAUACGCAUUAUUUUAU